AUGACGUGGGCACACCUCCAGGCCCACGAGAGAAUUCACACAGGAGAGAAGCCAUAUAAGUGUGGAGACUGUGGCAAGCGCUUCAGCUGCAGCUCGAACCUCCACACCCACCAGAGAGUCCACACUGAGGAGAAACCUUAUGAGUGUAAUGAGUGUGGGAAGCGCUUCAGCUUAAGUGGCAACCUAGACAUCCAUCAGCGGGUCCACACAGGAGAGACGCCAUAUAAGUGUGAAGAGUGUGGGAAGGGUUUCAGUUCAGCCUCAAGCUUCCAAAACCACCAGAGGGUCCAUACCGGAGAGAAGCCAUUUCACUGCAAUGUCUGUGGGAAGAACUUCAGUCGGAGCUCACAUUUUCUAGAUCACCAAAGAAUUCACACUGGGGAAAAACCGUAUAGAUGUGAAGUGUGUGGGAAGCGCUUCCCCUGGAGCUUGAGCCUUCAUAGUCACCAGAGUGUGCACACAGGAAAGAACCGUAUAAAUGUGAGGAGUGUGGGAAAGGCUUCAGUCAUGCCUCCAGUCUGCAGGCCCAUCACAGUGUCCACACCGGUGAAAAACCAUUCAAAUGCAAUGUUUGCCAGAAGCAGUUCAGCAAGACCUCAAACCUCCAUGCCCACCAGAGGGUUCACACAGGGGAGAAGCCCUACAAAUGCGACACGUGUGGGAAAGCCUUCAGCCAGAAGUCCAGUCUCCAAGUCCAUCAGAGAAUUCACACUGGGGAGAAGCCAUUCAAGUGUGAGGAGUGCGGGAAGGAAUUCAGAUGGAGCGUGGGGCUAAGUUCACACCAGAGGGUCCACACAGGAGAGAAACCCUACACGUGUCAGCAGUGUGGGAAAGGUUUCAGUCAGGCCUCAUAUUUCCAUAUGCACCAGAGGGUCCACACUAUAUAGAGACCUUAAAUUGGCUACAUUUGCUGUAGG